GUCGAACGGCAGCGCGGGAGCAAUCCUGGCGGCGAGUGGCGAACGGGUGAGUAAUGUAUCGGAACGUAUCCUGUAAUGGGGGAUAACCAGUCGAAAGAUUGGGUAAUACCGCAUACGCACGAGAGUGGAAAGUGGAGGAUCGCAAGACUUCACGUUAUAGGAGCGGCCGAUAUCUGAUUAGCUAGUUGGUGGGGUAAAGGCCUACCAAGGCGACGAUCAGUAGCUGGUCUGAGAGGACGACCAGCCACACUGGGACUGAGACACGGCCCAGACUCCUACGGGAGGCAGCAGUGGGGAAUUUUGGACAAUGGGCGAAAGCCUGAUCCAGCCAUGCCGCGUGCAGGAAGAAGGCCUUCGGGUUGUAAACUGCUUUAGUCUAGGAAAAAGGGAUGCCUGGUUAAUACCUGGGUGUUUUGAUGGUACUGGAAGAAUAAGCACCGGCUAACUACGUGCCAGCAGCCGCGGUAAUACGUAGGGUGCGAGCGUUAAUCGGAAUUACUGGGCGUAAAGCGUGCGCAGGCGGUCUUGUAAGACAGUCGUGAAAUCCCUGGGCUCAACCUGGGAAUUGCAUCUGUGACUGUAUAGCUAGAGUACGGUAGAGGGGGAUGGAAUUCCGCGUGUAGCAGUGAAAUGCGUAGAUAUGCGGAGGAACACCGAUGGCGAA
rnacentral:rRNA from 1 species